GAGUUAGAUGUUUCCAUGCUAUUGUAUGUUUGUACAAUUCAGUGGGGUUUUUUCUCUUUACAGGAAACUGCUACGUGUACAAGCACAAUCUCACUGCGGGCGGGCCAAGUUCAAAACAUUCAAGUCCAGUGCCUUAACACAAACGUGACAACACCAGUUAUUACCCCAACCACACCGGUGACCACACCGAGCAUUUUAGUUACUACACCAACCACACUGGACACCACAGACAGCACUUUAGUCACCACACCGACCACAACUGUGACCACACCAACCACGACCACCACAACAACCAAAAAACCCAGAAAACGACCAUCAUGUUCAUCAUCAUCAUCCGAAAGCAAUGAACGAUCAAGGAGAUGCACGAGAAAGAACUAUGGCCGAAGGUUUUGCAGGAGAAGUUCUGGCCACCGGAGGAGGAGGGGAUUUUCGAGCAGGCAGAAGAAAAAUAAUAGGCAAAGGAGUCUAACCAGAGUUAUUCGUUUUGCUCCGACUGCAGCUCUCAAGACAGAAGAGAAUCAAGAGUAAAAUGCAGAUACGCCACUGACUUCUGACAGUAGGAGAUCUGACAAAGCAGCUCCAGAACAUGAAUUGCUCAAAAGCCUUCUACAGGGUGUACUACAAUUACUGCCGGGUCUGAUAUUCUCCUGCAACUGCUGGGAUUCUCAUGUUUAACGUGAGAGUUCUCUUCCUCUCCUCUGCAAUCUCUGUCUUUUCCCUGCAAUCCAACGAGUUGUAGCUGCCUGAAUGCUACUGGAGACUGAUAUACAAUAAAAUAUUAGGAAAUGUACCAACCUGGAUGGGGUCUCAUCAGAUACUGUGCUUUUCCGGAUGUAAACAAUCCUAUAGCUGUUUCAAACAACUUUUCAAAUGUUUUUUCUUGAUUUUUCAUGGGAUAUAAUUUGGUACGAGAGUUAAAGCAAUCAUGUCUUGGCACACUAAACAAUAGCUUCAACUCAAUUACUUAUUAAAAAAUUGUGAUCAUGUAAUCUAAAAGGUAGACAAAAAUGCUGGAGAAACUCAGCGGGUCAGGCAGCAUCUAUUGAGCAAAGAAAUAGGCGAUGUUUCGGGUCGAGACCCUUCUUCAGACUUCUUUAGUCUGAAGAAGGGUCUCGACCCAAAACGUCACCUAUUUCCUUCACUCCAUAGAUGCUGCCUCACCUACUGAGUUUCUCCAGCAUUUUUGUCUACCUUCAAUUUUUCCAGCAUCUGCAGUUCUUUCUUAAACAUGUAAUCUCCAGGUCAUUAUUAGAUGCAUAAAACAAGAUGACAAUCAGUUCACAUAUUUUGUAUCUAUUUCUUUAGCUGGGUAAGACUUUUAACAAUCUGUUGGCAAUAUCUUGUGAUCUGUACUUAAUAAAUUAUAAUAAAAUAUGAUUAUCACAACCUUUCAAUGUCUUACAAGUUUAUUCAGGGGUGGAAUUAACCAUUGAAGCUUCAACUGCCUCCUCUAACAGCUCUUUCCACACACCUACCAAACUGUGUGUAAAAUACUUGAACUAGUGGGAGGGAGGAACUGAAGAGAAUCCACAUUAGUCAGGAAAUGGUGUUAGGUAAACCAUUGGGACGGAAGGCAGAUAAAUCCCCAUGGCCUGAAGGUCUCCAUCCCAGAGAACUCAAGGAGGUGACCCUAGAAAUUGUGGAUGCAUUGGUAAACUUUUGUCAAUGUUCUAUAGACUAGAUCAGUUUCUGUGGACUGGAUAGGUAAUGUAACUCAAUAUUUUCAGAAAGAAGGGAGAGAGAAAACAGGGAAUUAUAGACAAGUCAGCCUGACAUCGGUAGUGGGGAAGAUGCUGGAGUCGAUUAUUAUAGAUGUUAUAGUUGUGCCUUGGGAUAGCAGUGACAGGAUCGGUCAAAGUCAGCAUAGAUUUAUGAAGGGGAAAUUAUGCUUGACUAAUCUUCUGGAAUAUUUUGGGGAUGUAACAAGUAGAAUGGAUGAGGGAGAGCCAGUGGAUGAGGUGUAGCUGGACUUUCAAAAAGCCAUUGACAAGGUCCCACACAAGAGAUUAGUGGGCAAAAUUAGAGCACAUGUUAUUGGGGGUAGGGUAUUGACAAGGUUGUCAAACCGGAAGCAACGAGUAGGAAUUAACGGGACCUUUUCAGAAUGGCAGGCAGUGACUUGUGGGGUGCAGCAAGGCUCAGUGCUGGGACCCCAGUAAUUUACAAUUAUGUGGAUAAAUGUGAGGUUAUCCACUUUGGUGGCAAGAACAAGAAGGCAGAUUAUUAUCUUAUCUUAUUAUAAUUCUGUAACCAAGACCUAGUUGGUUUCGUAUUCAAGUCUUUCUGUCUCUCUGAAGGCACAAUUCUGUAAUUAAGGCUUAGUUUUACUGUUGAUCAAGUUUCUGUAUAUUGUUGCCAGCUGAGAAUGUAAAAGCUGUGCCGCUGUGCUCAGGAGAUCAGCUUUGACUGGACUCCUAGUGCUCACAAUUUCUAAUAAAUCGCUGGUUACUUUGAACACCAACUCCGCAUGGCCUUCCCAUUUGUUCCUACACCGUGGCUUCUUUAGCACUCGGUCGACUUGUGUUGCCCCUUUCAGAGAGCUGUGGACAUGGACUUCAUGAUCCUUCUACACAUGAUCCCUCUAUAAUGCUGUUAUGGUUCAUGGCAUCAACUAUAUAUUUUCCCCAUACAUACUGUAUUACCUCCCUACAUCCGUCAGCUCACACACAAACUCUCUGACCAAAACCUCUAAAUGGUAGCUCGCCAUGUAGAUCCACACAAUGCUGGCUCUCAUCACAAGGAACUAAAGAGAUUUCAUAAACACUUUGACUCCCCUUCCCAUUCCCACACUGACCUUUCUGUCCUGGGAUAGACACAAAAAGCUGGAGUAACUCAGCAGGACAGGCAGCAUCUCUGCAGAGAAAGGAUGGGUGACGUUUUGGGUCGGGACCAAUCUGAAGGUUUAGGUGAUAUUUAAUAGGAACUGAGGGGUAACCUUUUCACACAAAGGGUGGUGGGUGUAUGGAACAAGCUGCCAGAGGAAGUAGUUGAGCCGGGAACUAUCCCAACAUUUAAGAAACAGUUAGACGGGUACAUAGAUAGGACAGGUUUGGAGGGAUAUAGGCCAGGUAGGACUAGUGUAGCUGGGACAUGUUGGGCGGUGUGGGCAAGUUGGGAUGAAGGGCCUGUUUCAAUGCUGUAUCAAUCUUUGACUCUGUCACUAUAUAUAGUGAAAAGCUUUUGUUUGUGUGCUAUUCAAACAAAGAAAAUAUUCUACAUUAAUGCAGUCAGGCCACCCACAGUGCAGAGUAUACAGUAAACAACACCCAUUCCAGAAUCCUAUUGUGCUUUAUACCAACAUUCUUACUGAUGGAAAUUAGCUUUCAUUUAUUGAACACUAUUUAAAAACUCUUUGCUUUAAUGUUACCCCUGGCUAUUCAUGCAAAUUCCUUCAGUCUCAAAAAUGACCAAGGCAGCCUAUAGUCAACCUCUCUCCCCCUUCUCACUCUCCUCCGUCUCCACCCGCGGGAAUGUCCCACAGUCACUGACCAUGAUGCACCACCAUCGGACCCCAACC